CACAUCAGGAUGCUGAUUAAACAGCAUGAUUACUGCACAGGUGUGCCCUGUGAUGGUCCCAAAAACAGGCCACUCUAAAGUCUGCAGUUUGAUCACACAACACAAUGCCAUAGACGUUGCACGUUUUCAGUUUCACUUGCAGGUCAGUUCCCCGCCAGAAAGGGCCAUCUAUGUGUUCAUCAAGAAUGUUCUCCAAUUUUGGAUUCUUUGUUCACCAUGGAGGCCUGCAAGAAAAACGCAGAGUUCUCCACAAAUUCAAAGUACAAUGGGAUUCAGAUUUGACCAAGCAGCAGCCUCUGGGGCCAAAAAACGAAGCCAUCUCUCAAGUGCUAAAGCUGCAGUUCCGCAAAUGGCCACUAGAGGCUGGCUCCAAGAGCGAAUCAUAGACCUCCAUGUUAAAAUGCUCAAAUUAACAGCAGAAAUAAAUAUGUUUACAGCCUGGUACAAAAAGUAGUUUAGGUCUCUAUAGCUAAUUUCAACAUUCAUGACAACUGUACAGGGGGUGGAUUUUUAUAACUCACCGGUUUGCAUUUUAUUAAGACUUUAAGUUAAGCAUUAUUGAGGGCCUUCCCUUCCUUCACCAAAGCUCCACCCUUCAUCCAAAUAUGGUCAGUUCUGGCUCAAAAAACAAAAUGGCAACAGCUGAAAUGCCGAACUGGAGGCUGCAAAACGUUGGUCCACAAACUAAUGGGUGACAUCAUGAUAGCUACAUCCCUUUUUUUUUGUGUGUA